CCUCCUCAGUUGGCCGAGUCGUCCCGCGCGCACCGCCUCCGCGCGCCUAUGAGAAUGAGGUGGUAACGGGCCCCCGGAUGACCCCGCGUCACCACUGUGAGGCCUACAGCUCUGCCGGGGAGGAGGAGGAGGAGGAAGAGGAGGAGAAGGUAGCUACAGCAAGCUGGGUAGCAGGCAGAUCCAAAGGAUAUCAUGAAGUUUCCAGGGCCUUUGGAAAACCAGAGAUUGUCUUUCCUGUUGGAAAAGGCAAUCACUAGGGAAGCACAGAUGUGGAAAGUGAAUGUGCGGAAAAUGCCUUCAAAUCAGAAUGUUUCUCCAUCCCAGAGAGAUGAAGUAAUUCAAUGGCUGGCCAAACUCAAGUACCAAUUCAACCUUUACCCAGAAACAUUUGCUCUGGCUAGCAGUCUUUUGGAUAGGUUUUUAGCUACCGUAAAGGCUCAUCCAAAAUACUUGAGUUGUAUUGCAAUCAGCUGUUUUUUCCUAGCUGCCAAGACUGUUGAGGAAGAUGAGUACUAAAGGUAUUGGCAAGAGACAGUUUCUGUGGAUGUUCCUCAUCUGAAAUUUUGAGAAUGGAGAGAAUUAUUCUGGAUAAGUUGAAUUGGGAUCUUCACACAGCCACACCAUUGGAUUUUCUUCAUAUUUUCCAUGCCAUUGCAGUGUCAACUAGGCCUCAGUUACUUUUCAGUUUGCCCAAAUUGAGCCCAUCUCAACAUUUGGCAGUCCUUACCAAGCAACUACUUCACUGUAUGGCCUGCAACCAACUUCUGCAAUUCAGAGGAUCCAUGCUU
rnacentral:lncRNA from 1 species